AUGAAGGGAAUUACGAACAUACCUUGUCUCCACAUUGGAUCCAGAACAGGAUCAGAGGGAACCAAAACUGCUAAUUCGUAUAAAGCCAUUGAGCCAACCCAACCAGAAACUAGAGCUGUGUGCAUUAUAUGCACCGCAAGCAAUCGACCCGGAUCAUUUAAUACGAAUGCCUCAUUUGUAAUGAACAAUUGUCCUGCAAAACAAUAUUACAUGCCCAAUUAA
rnacentral:rRNA from 1 species